rnacentral:rRNA from 1 species
UACGGGGGGGGCAAGCGUUGUUCGGAAUUACUGGGCGUAAAGGGCUCGUAGGCGGCCAACUAAGUCGGACGUGAAAUCCCUCGGCUCAACCGGGGAACUGCGUCCGAUACUGGAUGGCUUGAGUUCGGGAGAGGGAUGCGGAAUUCCAGGGUGUAGCGGUGAAAUGCGUAGAUAAUCUGGAGGAACACCGAUGGCGAAGGCAGAUCUCUGGGCCGUAACUGACGCUGAGGAGCGAAAGCGUGGGGAGCGA